UCGAACGUGAAAGCACUUCGGUGUGAGUAGAGUGGCGGACGGGUGAGUAACGCGUGGGAAUCUGCCCAGUAGUGGGGGACAACUACCGGAAACGGUAGCUAAUACCGCAUACGCCCUAUGGGGGAAAGGCUUCGGCCGCUAUUGGAUGAGCCCGCGUCAGAUUAGCUAGUUGGUAGGGUAAAGGCCUACCAAGGCAACGAUCUGUAGCUGGUCUGAGAGGACGAACAGCCACACUGGGACUGAGACACGGCCCAGACUCCUACGGGAGGCAGCAGUGGGGAAUAUUGGACAAUGGGCGAAAGCCUGAUCCAGCAAUGCCGCGUGUGUGAAGAAGGCCUGCGGGUUGUAAAGCACUUUCAGUUGGGAAGAUGAUGACGUUACCAACAGAAGAAGCACCGGCUAAAUCCGUGCCAGCAGCCGCGGUAAUACGGAUGGUGCGAGCGUUAAUCGGAAUUACUGGGCGUAAAGCGCGCGUAGGCGGCUAAGUCAGUCAGAAGUGAAAGCCCCGGGCUCAACCUGGGAAUUGCUUUUGAUACUGCUUGGCUAGAGUUUGGUAGAGGAUAGUGGAAUUCCAGGUGUAGCGGUGAAAUGCGUAGAUAUCUGGAGGAACAUCAGUGGCGAAGGCGACUGUCUGGACCAAAACUGACGCUGAGGUGCGAAAGCGUGGGUAGCAAACAGGAUUAGAUACCCUGGUAGA
rnacentral:rRNA from 1 species